CAACGCCAUGAAACCCUAACUGGCCCUUCCCGCAAUGGCCGUGUUUCUGCAAAACUGACGCUUACGUUUAUUGAUUCAGGAUUAAGAGCACGACGACGACGGUAGAGUUUGUCGAUGGGUUCUUACGGCAGCUCGUGUUGUGGCAGAUUUCACGGGUUGCGGAAUUUAACCUAAUUUAGCCUAAGGGAUUUGCAGAAUAUUAAGGGCGAGUGAGAUGGCUUUGUGGCCUUUACGUGGUCGCUAUUUCUUUCACAUGUAUAUGGAUUACUGUAGUUAGGAACUUACCCCUCGAUUAAGAUCAUGAUUGGUUGGAUACGAUAUCCCGAUUUGCUCCUGAGUGUUGAUAGAGUGCAAUGUUUUUUUUUUGAAUUUGCAUUUCUCGUCUUUUAGUUGAUUAGUGCGAUUGUUAGGCCACUGCCGUAGCGACAGUUCGCACCGGAAUUCUUUUGGCACGGGAAUGAGUUGCAGUAGUUUUGUGUUGAGAAAUUAUUACUGCCGAAGGGUCGUUAUAGAUGUUUGAUGGAAUUGUGGAACGAGUUUGAAGUUUUUUAAGCGGCGAGGAUGGGAGCGCAGGGCAAUUCGCUCGAGAGGAAUUUGAAGGAUCUCUCGGUUGAGGGAUUGAUUGCAGUGGCUGACAAAGUCAAGGCUCCAAAUAUCAUCGCCCUGCGCUUAUUUGUUGCUGCAGAAGACUCACGUGAUGUCAAUGAUCGCUUCACCCUGCUGGACCGCAAAACUACCCAGGCUUGUUUACUUUUCGCCAGGAGCCUGGGGCAAGCUGUUGGGGGAUGGCUCCAGCAGCUCGAGCUCGGGUUGCGUCUAUGGAAUCAAGAACUUAAACUACUUGCUGAGGCUCUUUGCUCCACUAAGACCUUGCGGCUAUUGUCGUUUGCCAACAGUGGGCUCGGAGAUACGAGGUUUCAGAUCCUGGCUAGAAGUCUCCGGGAGUGUGUCCCUUUGAACACUUUAAACUUAUCCGGAUGUGGCUUAACAGAUAUGAACGUGCCAUUUAUUGUUAACAUCGUCAAGGGAAUGCCCUUUAGUGAGAGAAUCAAACCUGCUGAGUAUACGCCUGGCGAGAUGAUGUUUGAGCAAGCUUUGGAAUGUCAAACAAAGGUGCAAAAGACAAGUACAAGGGCCUUAAAAGAACUCGUCUUGCAAUCCACCUUGCGGCAAUCUGCAACACGUCACAGUACGUGUAUGCCAUCCAAGGAAAUUGCUGAUGCAGGACCUCAAGGACUCAGAGUUCUUGACCUCUCAUAUAAUCAGUUCACCGAUGACCUUGCCAAUAAGCUCUGUCCAAUUUUAUACGGAGAGGCUCCACUGUCAGCUUUGAAUUUGCAGUGCAAUAAACUGACUCGCGAAGGAGCAAGCAUGUUUGGGGCAGUCAUGAAAGAAAAGAAAGUGCUGUUGUUAGUUGACCUGAGGGACAACAAGCUGGAAGUUCCAACUGCAGCCCUAAUUUCUGAUGACACUGCUGUUCUUAGGGACGUUUCAGUUCCAAUUUUUCCGAAAGAAGCUUUUUCCACAGUGAAGCCAGCUGUUGUUUCUGAAUUUCGAGACUUUACAGUAGACAAACAUAAAAAAAACUUCCUUGCAAAGCCCAAGACGCAUGUCAUUAGAAAACAGAUAUCAGGCAGUACAAUUCAUAAAAGCAUGGCUGCGGGUGACUCUUCAAAUCAGAGACCAAUGUGCAGGAGUCCAGGGGUUCAUGUUGCCAUCAACAAACUACCUUUAAGAACCAAAUCCAUACCUGAGCGUUUUCACAGGCGUUUGGUUAGUACGCCAAUGACAAACAGGCAGUGCCUGUAUUCUAUGAAUAACCUCACAAUGCUAAGUGUGAACUUCGAGUCCGAGCGUUCCAGCCAAAUUGUGUCUGACAGUAGGAAGUAUUUGAGUUGUAAACGAACCUGCGAGAUGGGAAGGCCGACGACAGCACCGUCAACCUUGAGACCUGAAACUGCUCCUGAUCAAAGUCGAGUGUUAGGUGCGAACCCCACUCGUAGAACAUCCAAGGGUAAAGCCUAUUUUAAAGGUUCAGGCAGUGCUCCAGUGAGUGCUCGCAACAAAUCUUAUAAAUCAGCAUCUGAAGACAUCGCUCCUUGGGAGCAGCUUUCAAGUCGAGAUACAUAUAUGAGUGGUUCCACCACAUCUCAGAAACCAUUUCCAGCGACACUCAAGAAGAACAUCGAGUCAAGGAUGAGUGGUCUUUCAGUUCUGAGGAAUGAAACUUGUUUCCAUUCAGGGAAAAAGUUGAAAAUGAGGAAAAAGGGGAAACAAAUCCCUCAGAAUCCUAGCUCUCGACAGAUCACACAUCACACGGUCGAUCCUUUGGUGCCGCUUUUGGGCAACAAAAGCUUGCAAACUUGCCCAGACAAACAGAAAAGAAGGGCUAAGAUGAAGCCCAAUGCAGUCAAGCGUUUGGAGCUGCAAUUUCUGAAUGGUAAAGGGUGUAAAGCUGGAGAUAAUCAAGAGAUGCCACCAAUAAUCACUCCGCUGGACUUGAAACGAACAUUACCUUCGUCAACAGUAACAAGCAAAGAAGAUUCACAAUGGAAUAGCUUCAUGUCUGAGAUGACCAUGACGCUUCUUAAUCUGAAAGGGAGAUUUGAUCACCUCUUCGGAUCAUCUGAACCUGAAAUCGCCGAUGGUCAAGAGCUGCUCACCAACCGGCUUCACCAUUCCGGGAGGUGCUGCGUGACAGGCACAGGUUUGCAUAAACCAAGCCCAUUAGCCAGUCCAUCAACACAAUGUAAUUGCAAGAUACCUAACAGAAUGUCACAUCCUUACAUCCUCGGAACCUCAAGAUGAACCUGCAUGCAAUAGUCAAUAUUUUUCAAAAAUUUCAAUAUUGGACAAAUUAUAAUGCACAGCAUUGAAAUAAAGACGCAUCGCACACUAGUAAAGGCGAAGAUUGUAUAUAAAAAAACCUAAAACAAGAUGCAGUAGAGAUUAUUGAUAACACAAUGAUAUCAAUGGCAUGAAACAUCACUGAAUUCUGUGAUGAAAUCAAACAAAAUGGGACAAUAUGUAAUAAAAUGUUUUGUCUAAUAUCUAAAUAUAUAUUUUCGGUUAAAUUGAGAAAUUACUGAAAAAUCAUAUUUUAAAUGCAAUAUUUUUAAUUUUUUUAAAGCUUUGCUUUAAAAAAUGACAAAUAAAAGUAUAAGUUAAAUAACCCCACACUUUACCACAAUAAUUUUUAUACUUAAAAUGAGCUUUCAUUAAAACCAAAUCAAAUAUAAAAGCAUGAAAUCCAAUAUGUAUAGAAUAAUUUCGUAGUAGAAAAUA